rnacentral:lncRNA from 1 species
GAGACAAUCCAGGUAUACAAGGUACAAUGAGGUCUGGCCCCAGGGCUGACCUCAGACUGUGCCUUAACACUCUGUGUCUUACUGCAUCAUUUCUGGAAGGUUAUUUCAGAAGGUGGUAAUUACAGAGAGUAAAUUAGGGCUAAAGCAGGAUGAGAACUUGCUUGGAUGUUCUGUUGAGGAAAGAGAGGUGGAAGGAGCAAAGGGCUCAGCACCCAAAACUCUGGGAAUCACUCAACUUUAGAGAAAGAAAGCAAAAGCACUUUUAAAAUGAGUUAAGUGGAAGACGAACAGACAAAUGAGGUAACUUCUAUAAAGAUGGAGGUUGCUUCUGGCUCAUCAGCCAUCGUUGAUGUGCCACAGACCUGAGGGCACGUGACCCAGGAAUGUGCAUCCAAAGAUAAUACUACCUUCAGAGAACUCUACUUAUAGUGGUGAAAUUGAAUCACUGAAGCAGCUGAGGCAGAGAGCUUUUCCUUCAGGAUUCACGGCCUAUUUCUCAGUUCUGGGAAGACAACUCUAACAACUCAACAGAGUGAAGAGAGAUAAAGAUGUUGGGAAUGACUGAUUUCAAACAAUCAAAACUGCUUUGGGGAUGAGGAUGAAGUUGGGACAUUACUGCCUUGUAUACCACAUACUAUAAUAUUUAUUAUGUCUAUUGUUUAUUGUGUGUGUCCUUCUUUAGAAUUUUAACUCCCCAAGGGCAAAGAUCCCUGACUGUUUUGCUUAUCAAUGUAUCCAAAAGGCCUAAAACAGAGCCUUGUACCCUAUACACACUCUGCAAAUAUUUGCUGAAUUGAAUAAAAGGCUGCCGAUCUAUAAACUAUGCUGCUUUCAAAUAAAACUAAGACAAGGACAUUGAUAGCAUAUCCUCA